rnacentral:tRNA from 1 species
ACCCACGUGGCGGAAUUGGUAGACGCGCAAGGUUGAGGGCCUUGUGUCCGAUAAGGACGUGCUGGUUCGACUCCAGUCGUGGGUA